UAACAGAGUCACAGAAUAUCCUGGGUUGGAAAGGACCCACAAGGGUCAUCGCGUCCAGCUCCUGGCCUGCACAGCGCCAUACCCGAGAGUCACACCCUGUGCCUGGUAGCGUUGUCCAGACGCUCCCUGAGCUCUGUCAGGCUGGUGCUGUGACCACUGCCCUGGGGAGCCUGUUCAGUGCCCAAACACCCUCUGGGGGAAGAACCUGUUUCUAAUACCCAACCUAAACCUCUCCUGACACAGCUUCAGGCCAUUCCCUUGUGUCCUGUCACAAGGGCCACCACAGAGAUCAGUGUGUGCCACUGUUCUUCCCCUCACAAGAAGUUGUAACUGCAGUGAGGUCUUUCCUCAGUCUCCUCCAGGCUGGACAGGCCAAGUGACCUCAGCUGCUCCUCACACAGCUUCCCCUCAAGGCCCUUCACCAUCUUGGCUGCCCUCGUUUGGAUGCUCUCUUAGUAUCUUUUUUAUAUUGUGGUGCCCAAAACUGUGCACAGCUCUUGCGGUGAGGCCAACCAGUGCACAGCAGAGGGGACAAUCCCCUCCCUUGCCCAGCUGGUGACGCUGUGCCUGAUGCCCCCCAGGACAGGGUUGGCCCUCCUGGCUUCCAGGGCACUGCUGGCUCAUGUUCAACUUGCCAUCGACCAGGAUACCCAGAUCCCUGCUGGACCAGUACCAUGGCACUGCUCUCCAGCUUCUCAUUCCCCAGUCUGUAUGUACUAUGAUCAGGGUUGCCGCAUCCCUGGGGCAGCAGUCCUGCACUGCAGACGAUAUUUGCAACUGGUCACUAUAGAAUUGACACUACAGAAAGAACGUUACCCAGACACUGGAAAGCACUGCUGCCUGAUUUUCCACACAGAAACAUCACCUGUGAACACCUGGGCAUGGGCAGCACCCUCACUGAUGCACCAGAAGACAUGCUGAGUGCCAGGCAGCUGAUCACCCAUGACAGGUACUGGGAAUUGCAUGUCUCCAUCACAGACCCUGCCCACUCUCUUCCCCUCCGUGCAUCAGCCAUAGAUCAAGGCUGACAUGUCACCUGCUGACACACAGCUCCAGCAACAAGUAGAGUGCAGGAAAGUACAAAAAUGUCAGGUAUGUCGACCAACAAGGUUGGUUUUCAAGGGACACUCACUGCUCCACGUGUCUCUGUGGCCCGUGUUUCGGUAGUCAGUGAAGAGGCAAACGAAACUGUCCAGCAAUAGUAUCACUGUGACCUAGGCAAAGAGGCAUUUUCACAAAACAUGUUAGGUCAGCAGGAAUGAGCCAGCACAGGGGCAAAACACAAAGAAAUGGCAUCCUCACAUGCACUGCUUGCUUUCUGGAAAAAAAAACCAAACAACAAACCCACAACUUUUUUGCUUGGGUCUGAGCUCCUGCAGCUAAAAUAGCUGUUGAGUGAGCCAGGGCUCCACCGUAGUCAGCUGCAAGCUGCAUCUCUGAGGUGAUGCAGGCACUGUAUCUGCAAAGCUGCUAGCCGUCCCCUCUGCCGGUUUGCCCUCCUCAGGAACCACCUCCCAAAAAGCCCACCAGGGACAGGCCUUCAUUGCACCUGUCCUUCCAGCUUACAGCUGUUCUGCAGCAAGGGGAUGGGGUCAGAUUCUGGAGGGAGAGAGGGAGGCAAAGCCACCUGCAAUGCAAACAAGCUACUGCUGUGGGAAGAAGCCAGGCAGCAAAGGAAGGAUGAUUUACUGACACAAGCUAAGCCAAUAUAAACACUUAUGAUACAGGUGCCUGUGCUCUCAGAUACUGCCUGACUUAAUUCAAUUGUUUUGUAACCCGAUUUAG
ensembl:lncRNA